rnacentral:rRNA from 1 species
UACGUAGGGGGCUAGCGUUGUCCGGAAUCAUUGGGCGUAAAGCGCGUGUAGGCGGCCCGGUAAGUCCGCUGUGAAAGUCGGGGGCUCAACCCUCGGAUGCCGGUGGAUACUGUCGGGCUAGAGUGCGGAAGAGGCGAGUGGAAUUCCUGGUGUAGCGGUGAAAUGCGUAGAGAUGUGGAGGAACACCGAUGGCGAAGGCAGCCCCCUGGGCUGAGAUUGACGCUCAGGCACGAAAGCGUGGGGAGCAAACAGGG